rnacentral:rRNA from 1 species
UACAGAGGGUGCAAGCGUUAAUCGGAGUUACUGGGCGUAAAGGGCGCGUAGGUGGUUAAAUAAGUGAGAUGUGAAAGCCCUGGGCUUAACCUAGGAACUGCAUCUUAGACUGUAUAGCUUGAGUGUUGUAGAGGGUAGUGGAAUUUCCGGUGUAGCGGUGAAAUGCGUAGAGAUCGGAAGGAACACCAGUGGCGAAGGCGGCUACCUGGACAAAUACUGACACUGAGGCGCGAGAGCGUGGGUAGCAAACAGG